rnacentral:rRNA from 1 species
UACGUAGGGGGCAAGCGUUGUCCGGAAUGACUGGGCGUAAAGCGCGCGCAGGCGGUUUUCUACGUCUGGGGUGAAAGUCCAGGGCUCAACCCUGGGAUGGCCUUGGAAACGGGGAGACUUGAGGGUCGGAGAGGCAAGGGGAAUUCCACGUGUAGCGGUGAAAUGCGUAGAGAUGUGGAGGAACACCAGUGGCGAAGGCGCCUUGCUGGACGAAACCUGACGCUGAGGCGCGAAGGCGUGGGGAGCAAACAGG